AUGUCUAGAAAGUUGUGGGAAUUUUGAUGCCUUACAAAGUUCAGGGAACAGUCUGGCAGGACACACAGCAAACUCCCUCUCAGUUUAGGAGAGCUGUCCUCAGAAUAGGGCUGGCUCUUCAAGGCACAAGAGGACAAU
rnacentral:snoRNA from 1 species